GAUGAAGAACGCAGCGAAAUGCGAUAAGUAAUGUGAAUUGCAGAAUUCAGUGAAUCAUCGAAUCUUUGAACGCACAUUGCGCCCCUUGGUAUUCCGGGGGGCAUGCCUGUUCGAGCGUCAUUAUAACCCCUCAAGCUCAGCUUGGUGUUGGGGCCUGCCAACUGGCAGCCCUUAAAAUCAGUGGCGGCGCCAUCUGGCUCUAAGCGUAGUAAUUUCUCUCGCUAUGGAGUCCCGGUGGACGCUUGCCAGCAACCCCCAACUUUCUAUGGUUGACCUCGGAUCAGGUAGGGAUACCCGCUGAACUUAAGCAUAUCAAUAAGCGGAGGA
rnacentral:misc_RNA from 1 species